UGCCGCGUGAUCGAUGAAGGCCUUAGGGUUGUAAAGAUCUUUCGUAUGGGAAGAUAAUGACGGUACCAUCAUAAGAAGCCCCGGCUAACUCCGGGCCAGCAGCCGCGGUAAUACGGAGGGGGCUAGCGUUAUUCGGAAUUACUGGGGGUAAAGCGCACGUAAGCGGAUGAGAAAGUCAGAGGUGAAAUCCCAGGGCUCAACCUUGGAACUGCCUUUGAAACUCCUAGUCUUGAGGUCGAUAGAGGUGAGUGGAAUUCCGAGUGUANAAGUGAANUUCGUAUAUAUUCGGAGGAACACCAGUGGCGAAGGCGGCUCACUGGCUCGAUACUGACGCUGAGGUGCGAAAGCGUGGGGAGCAAACAGGAUUAAAUACCCUGGUAGUCCACGCCAUAAACGAUGAAUGCCAGUCGUCGGGUAGCAUGCUAUUCGGUGACACACCUAACGGAUUAAGCAUUCCGCCUGG
rnacentral:rRNA from 1 species